GAACACUCCAGCAACUUCUUCCACACUUGAGAAAUACUGGAUGGGAUCCCUGAUGUCUCUGUCUUCAUCCAACAAUUUGAACUUUCCUGCAGAAGGACAUGAGCAGAGAGCGAGAUAAAGAGACACAAAGUUUUGGGAGCACAAAGACACCUCAGCGACCUCUGACCUGGCACCAGCGUUCGAGCCAAUCAACAGUCUACAGGGUUGUCAUGGCAACCGACCCGCAUGAUCAUCUUUGUGCUGCCUGGCUGCAGAAAUAAGUGAAGUUCCGGUUGCGCAACAACA